rfam:Schistosoma mansoni strain Puerto Rico chromosome 2, complete genome
GUCCAACUAAAGUCCCAAAUAGGACGAAACGCGCGUCCUGGAU